UACGGAGGGAGCUAGCGUUGUUCGGAAUUACUGGGCGUAAAGCGCGCGUAGGCGGCUUUGUAAGUUAGAGGUGAAAGCCCGGGGCUCAACCCCGGAACUGCCUUUAAAACUGCAUCGCUUGAAUCCGGGAGAGGUGAGUGGAAUUCCGAGUGUAGAGGUGAAAUUCGUAGAUAUUCGGAAGAACACCAGUGGCGAAGGCGACUUACUGGACACAUAUUGACGCUGAGGUGCGAAAGCGUGGGGAGCAAACAGG
rnacentral:rRNA from 1 species